rnacentral:rRNA from 1 species
GACGUAGGGCGCGAGCGUUGUCCGGAUUUAUUGGGCGUAAAGGGCUCGUAGGCGGCCAACUAAGUCAUACGUGAAAUCCCUCGGCUUAACCGGGGAACUGCGUCUGAUACUGGAUGGCUUGAGUUCGGGAGAGGGAUGCGGAAUUCCAGGUGUAGCGGUGAAAUGCGUAGAUAUCUGGAGGAACACCGGUGGCGAAGGCGGCAUCCUGGACCGAUACUGACGCUGAGGAGCGAAAGCCAGGGGAGCAAACGGG